GUGGAGUGUCGUUGGGCAGGGGCGCCACUGAUUGGCUGAGAGCGGUCACCUGAUUUAUUAUUAUCUUUUUAUGGGUAGUCACUGAUUGGCAGAAAGAGCCAAUCAGUGGCACCCCUGCCCGACGACACUCCGCUC